rnacentral:rRNA from 1 species
AGGGGGAUAACUACUGGAAACGGUAGCUAAUACCGCAUAACGUCUUCGGACCAAAGUGGGGGACCUUCGGGCCUCACACCAUCGGAUGUGCCCAGAUGGGAUUAGCUAGUAGGUGGGGUAACGGCUCACCUAGGCGACGAUCCCUAGCUGGUCUGAGAGGAUGACCAGCCACACUGGAACUGAGACACGGUCCAGACUCCUACGGGAGGCAGCAGUGGGGAAUAUUGCACAAUGGGCGCAAGCCUGAUGCAGCCAUGCCGCGUGUAUGAAGAAGGCCUUCGGGUUGUAAAGUACUUUCAGUGGGGAGGAAGGCGAAGAGGUUAAUAACCUUUUCGAUUGACGUUACCCGCAGAAGAAGCACCGGCUAACUCCGUGCCAGCAGCCGCGGUAAUACGGAGGGUGCAAGCGUUAAUCGGAAUUACUGGGCGUAAAGCGCACGCAGGCGGUCUGUCAAGUCGGAUGUGAAAUCCCCGGGCUCAACCUGGGAACUGCAUUCGAAACUGGCAGGCUAGAGUCUUGUAGAGGGGGGUAGAAUUCCAGGUGUAGCGGUGAAAUGCGUA